CACGUAGGGCGCAAGCGUUGUCCGGAAUUAUUGGGCGUAAAGAGCUUGUAGGCGGUUUGUCGCGUCUGCUGUGAAAUUUCGGGGCUCAACCCCGAACUUGCAGUGGGUACGGGCAGACUAGAGUGUGGUAGGGGAGACUGGAAUUCCUGGUGUAGCGGUGGAAUGCGCAGAUAUCAGGAGGAACACCGAUGGCGAAGGCAGCUCGCUGGGACGGUACUGACGCUGAGGCGCGAAAGCGUGGGGAGCGAACAGG
rnacentral:rRNA from 1 species